GGUCAAGCGAAGAAGAGCGCAGGGUGGAUGCCUUGGCACUAAGAGCCGAUGAAAGACGUGAUAAGCUGCGAUAAGCUGCGGUAAGGAGCAAAUAUCCAUUGACCCGCAGAUCUCUGAAUGGGGAAACCCACAUGAGAACACCUCAUGUAUCCAUACGCCAAUCCAUAACGUAUGGAGGGGAACCCGGUGAACUGAAACAUCUAAGUAGCCGGAGGAAGAGAAAGAAACAUCGAUUCCGUAAGUAGCGGCGAGCGAACGCGGAAGAGCCCAAACCAUGGUGCGUGCACCAUGGGGUUCGGACUGCAUAAUUGAUUCAAUGAUCCUAGCAGAAUGGUUUUGGGAAAGCCAGCCAAAGAGGGUGAAAGCCCCGUAAGCGAAAGGAAAGUUGACAUGGCAGGAUCCAGAGUACAUCGAGACACGUGGAACCUUGAUGGAAGGAGCGGGGACCACCCCGUAAGGCUAAAUACUACUUAGUGACCGAUAGCGCAUAGUACUGUGAAGGAAAGGUGAAAAGGACCCCGGGAGGGGAGUGAAAGAGAACCUGAAACCCUGUGUUUACAAACUGUCGGAGGGCUUUAUAUGCCCGACGGCGUACUUUUUGUAGAACGGUCCGGCGAGUUGUGCAUACUGGCAAGGUUAAGGGAUAAAGUCCCGGAGCCGCAGGGAAACCAAGCCUUAAGAGGGCGAGAUAGUCAGUGUGUGCAGACCCGAAACCGGGUGACCUAUCCAUGUCCAGGUUGAAGUUGCCGUAAAAGGCAAUGGAGGACCGAACGCACAUCCGUUGAAAAGGGUGGCGAUGAGGUGUGGAUAGCGGAGAAAUUCCAAUCGAACCCGGAGAUAGCUGGUUCUCCUCGAAAUAGCUUUAGGGCUAGCCUCGUUUUAGUCUGGUGGAGGUAGAGCACUGAAUUCCCAAGGGGGCGUCAAAGCUUACUAAGGGAUAUCAAACUCCGAAUGCCAUACAGAUGAUGAACGGGAGUCAGACUAUACGAGAUAAGUUGGAUAGUCAAAAGGGAAAGAGCCCAGACCCGCAGCUAAGGUCCCAAAGUGCAUGUUAAGUGGAAAAGGAUGUGGGAUCUCUAAGACAACUAGGAUGUUGGCUCAGAAGCAGCCAUUCAUUCAAAGAGUGCGUAACAGCUCACUAGUCGAGAGGUCCUGCGCCGAAAAUGUCCGGGGCUAAAACAUGCCACCGAAGCUUGGGAAUGACAUAGUCAUUGGUAGAGGAGCAUUCUUAACGCGAAGAAGCAGUACCGGAAGGAGCUGUGGAGUGCUAAGAAGAGAGAAUGCCGGAAUGAGUAGCGAGAACAAGGUGAGAAUCCUUGUGGCCGAAUAUCCAAGGUCUCCAGGGUAAAGCUGAUCUGCCCUGGGAAAGUCGGGACCUAAGGUGAGGCUGAAAAGCGUAGCCGAUGGACAACAGGUUGAUAUUCCUGUACCGCAUGGUAACAGAACUGUGGGGACACGGGAGGGAAACAUGGGCCGGAAAUGGAAAGUCCGGUACAAACGGGGUAGUCGCACAGCAGGCAAAUCCGCUGUGCAUGAGACGAAGCCGUGAUGUGGAGCGAACUAAAGUAGUGAAGCAUGUGCCCCCUCCUGUCGAGAAAAGCCGCUAUUGUUUGCCAUGCGCCCGUACCGUAAACCGACACAGGUGGAUGAGGAGAGAAUCCUAAGGCCGGCGGGAGAAGCAUUGUCAAGGAACUCGGCAAAAUGACCCCGUAACUUCGGGAGAAGGGGUGCCCACGCAAGUGGGCCGCAGAGAAUAGGCUCAAGCAACUGUUUAGCAAAAACACAGGUCUAUGCGAAACCGUAAGGUGAUGUAUAUGGGCUGACGCCUGCCCGGUGCUGGAAGGUUAAGAGGAGAGGUUAGCGCAAGCGAAGCUUUGAAUCCAAGCCCCAGUAAACGGCGGCCGUAACUAUAACGGUCCUAAGGUAGCGAAAUUCCUUGUCGGGUAAGUUCCGACCCGCACGAAAGGCGUAAUGAUUUGAGCGCUGUCUCGACAAUGCACCCGGUGAAAUUGAAGUACCAGUGAAGAUGCUGGUUACCCGCGCCAGGACGGAAAGACCCCAUGGAGCUUUACUCCAGUUUGGUACUGGAGCUUGGUAUUGCAUGUACAGGAUAGGUGGGAGC
rnacentral:rRNA from 1 species